rnacentral:rRNA from 2 species
UGACCUCAAAUCAGGCAAGAAUACCCGCUG